rnacentral:rRNA from 1 species
GAUGAACGCUGGCGGCGUGCCUAAUACAUGCAAGUCGAGCGAACAGACGAGGAGCUUGCUCCUCUGACGUUAGCGGCGGACGGGUGAGUAACACGUGGAUAACCUACCUAUAAGACUGGGAUAACUUCGGGAAACCGGAGCUAAUACCGGAUAAUAUACUGAACCGCAUGGGUCAAUAGUGAAAGACGGUUUUGCUGUCACUUAUAGAUGGAUCCGCGCCGCAUUAGCUAGUUGGUAAGGUAACGGCUUACCACGGCAACGAUGCGUAGCCGACCGGAGAGGGUGAUCGCCCACCCUGGAACUGAGCCGCGGUCCAGGCUCCUACGGGAGGCAGCAGUAGGGAAUCUUCCGCAGUGGGGGGAAGCCUGACGGAGCAGCGCCGCGUGAGUGAUGAAGGUCUUCGGAUCGUAAUACUCUGUUAUGAGUGAAGAACAAAUGUGUAAGUAACUGUGCACGUCUUGACGGUACCUAAUCAGAAAGCCCCGGCUAACUACGUG